GUUAAUACAUUCAGGCAUUUAAAAUCCCAUACAGGGGAACUUCAAGCCAUCAUUAAAAGUAUGCCUUUGAAAAAUAUUUAGUGACCUAGAAAAAUAUUUUUAAAGCUAAGUAACAAAAUCAGCGCGCUAAGCUAUGUGGACAGCGCGAGUCCCACUUUUUUUGCACCUCUCCUCUCCCCUCCCAUGUGUGGAUGGAACAUUUCUUUCUGCAGAGAAAAACAUGUUAUGCACGCAAAUGUUACCCUUGGUUUUGUCUGGGAGUUUUUAUUUGCUCGGACAGAAAAUUGGCUAUGCUGGGUUUAAUAGUAGGAAGCAUGAACAUUCUUUAACACUGUAAGCGGUAAAGCCUCAGUAAAGUGACCAAGAUUUCAUCAGGUGGCUUAAGAAUGAACUUUGCGAUCCUCUCUCAUCAAGAUUACACUGUACCGGCGGUUUCGGAGGUUCCAUUCACCGGUCUGGUACGCAGCGCACGCGGUUCCAGGGCCCAGACACCGCCGUGGCCCUACUGGAAGUUUAAUUAUAGGGCUGGGUAGCGGGCGUGGCUCUCAAACGGGGUGGCGGGAACUUCAUCUUUUUGACAUUCAACAGAAAUGCAGAGAAGCCGUGUGGUAUCCACCCGCAGGACAGAGAGCCCUGGAAUUUGGGGCCUGAUUUUCCCUUCCCUAGAUCCUCCACCUCCGUCUCCAAGGGCUCCCACAGGCCUCUCCGCCUCUGAGAAGCUCCCCCUUUCUUUACCUCUGUCGCUCCCCCUCCAUCUAUCCCCGGACCUUCCUGCCACACCUCCAAAGCCCAACGCCUCGGCCCCCCUUUCCCGUUUCUCCGCAGCCGCCGCCCUCCCGAGGGCCCUAGGAUCCCUGGGAGGAAACGUUCAGCCGGAGCAGAGUUUUGGGAACUGAGCCUUUAGAGAGCAUCGGGCAGUCAGGCGUGGGGGAGGGGCCGGGGUUGCGAGUGCGCCGCUCUUGGAAGGUCGUCGGUAACUCCUUCCCGGCGGCGCUGGAAGCUGGUGCUGACCUCUUAACAAAGAACAGCUUUAUUGAGAUUGAGUUGACACAUGGACACUGUGUGUGAGGUCUUCUUGAAGUUCUUCUAGGAAGAGGAGCUUGACUCUGCGCCCCCAACUUUUGAGCAUGGUCAUCACCUCAUGGCUUGCUUUUGGGCUGAUGAAAUCAAGCAAACAGAAGAACAUUUCGAGGCCAACCCUGUUUGUGGCAAUCAUUUGGUUGGAAGGAAAGAGUCCCUCACCACUGUGUCUCUGCUGGCAGCGAAUGUCAAAGAAAAUCCUCCAUACUCUGCACUUAGAUCACAAUGAGGACUCCUGUGAACAACCUCCACAAACUUAGGACUUGCGGUGGAGUCACACUUUUCUCAUCCUCUAUUCUCAAAAUCUAUGAGUGAAAGAAUAAGCACAUUAACAACAACAACAACAAAAAGAAUAAGCACAUUGAUUAGUCAUUUGGAAAUUCACAAAUAGAGGCUUUACCAUGAAACUUCAAAUUCUGGAUUUAGUAUGCUGCAACAGUUUUCAUGCUUCUCCUCACAUUUUGGGGGAGUCUUUUUUUUUUCCCCCGUCAAUUACUUCUGACACCUUUCCCAGUACAGUGAUGGGACUGCAGUGGAAUGAAAUCAUCUCUCUUGUGUGGGAUUGCGGGAGUGCCAUUAAGAGAAUGUUUCACCACAGACGCUGUGUAGCAACAGCUGCAUGGAUGGAAAAUUCCAGAGUCUUUUUUGUUGCAAUGUUUUCCAUUUUUAUACAUGCAAGGAAAUGUGUGCUUAACUGAACUCAGCUGUUUGAAAAUUUACAGAAAGUAUGAGAUAAUAAAUGCCUUUGCCAUUUAAGCAAUUUUAAG